GCGGCCACCGUGUUGUUUAAGUUGGCUUAUAGGCAGCUUCCCAAGCUGCAUACGAGGGUUCGAUUCCCUCCGUCCGCUCCA
rnacentral:tRNA from 1 species